UACGUAGGUGGCAAGCGUUGUCCGGAUUUACUGGGCGUAAAGAGCGCGCAGGCGGUCGUUCAAGUCGCGUGUGAAAGCCCCCGGCUCAACUGGGGAGGGUCACGCGAUACUGAUCGACUCGAAGGCAGGAGAGGGUAGUGGAAUUCCCGGUGUAGUGGUGAAAUGCGCAGAUAUCGGGAAGAACACCCGUGGCUAAGGCGGCUCUCUAGUACGGUACUGACGCUGAGACGCGAAAGCGUGGGGAGCGGACAGG
rnacentral:rRNA from 1 species